CAGUCAAUAAUUAGAUAUAUUUCCUUACAAGUUGUGAUUUCUCAUGUGUAUGCAGAAGUCGAUUGAUUAUGAGCGAAACAUUGCCGAACCACGAAGGAAAAGUUGCCAACAGUAAACUAACCUCAACUGAUCAUCCCGUGUUAUUUCCACACGAUGUAAAUGAUUUCCUCCGGCGUUGAUCCGGUUCCCGGACCUAGCCCGCACAAACCCGCACAAGGUAUGCCGUAUUUUUAGCGGGAUAUGCAGUCUUUUUCGGGUUUCCUCGGCUUGGAAAAACUUGUGUCGUUUCUCUGAUCAACAGCCUAAAGAUGUAUUUAUGAUUAGAUUUUCAAUUCGGAAAUAAAAACUGGAAAAUAA